UUUCUGGUAUACAAUGCAAGAGGCAACAUAUUCUGCAUGACCAUAUGUAAGCUGCUCUUAGUGGUAUAUAUUUAUAGGUUCGUACAAACAACCAAACAUAAUACUACA